rnacentral:lncRNA from 1 species
GAGAUGAAUAUCAGAUUUAUUUAGGAUUUAUCUAUUGAUUUAAGCAAGUUAUCCUGUUGUUAUAAUAGCCCUUGAUAAAUCACGAUCGAGAGAGCUAGACGAUAAUCUCAAACGAAUGUUGUGAAUUCCUUGACUCCAGGGUUCUUUCAUGGCUUCAAUGCUACUAUGUUUGCUUUCGGGGCUACUGGUAGUGGAAAAGCUUAUAACAUAUGCAGGUAUGGUGAAAAAGACAAGCUUUUAUUUGCAUGAUUUACUGCUUUUCUUUCUUUCUUUUAAAAGUUUCUCAGCUUUUUAGCUAGAUGGUAAUGGUAUAGUGUUUAAAUCAUUAGGUAUUUCAACAAUGACCUUUUUUUUUUUUUUUUUUUUUUUUUCUGUUUUUACUAAAAUUAUGUUUCACCACAAGGCCUUGGCCAAGUCCAUUCUGUGAAUGGUUAAAAUGCCUUAGGCCUUGUGCACAAGUUUGUCUAUAUGCCAAAGUAGAGGUUUCAGAGCUGAGAUUUUCAUAGUUUGAGGUAUGUUAAACGUGAUGUAACAAAAGGAAUUUCGAUAUUUGAUGACAAAUAUGGGGAGAUUGAAGCGACUAAUUAAGGAGCAGAUCUAUUUUUCCAUGUAUAGAAUUCAUGUUUGGGGAAUUGUGAGAGGAAGGCAUGGACCCAUGGUGGUUGCAGUUUACAGAGUUAGUAAUGAUGGUUGUGGGGUUGUGUUUGAUGGGAAAACUGAACCUCAUAGACUACCAGGUUGUUGAUUUCUGCAGAUUUUGAAUCAUUAAUUUGCAGGUAAUGAAGGCAUUGGUCUCCAAGAGGGUGCUAAGAUAGUAAACCAAUGCUUAUUUCCUUUGUCAAAUGUAACUUACAUAACACCAAAUCUGAAGUACCUUGAUGGUUGCUUGAUCAUUUUGUGACUCUCUUUUUUUACCCAAUAUUGAGAUUUUAUUCAAUGUUCACUUUGUUCCAUGAACAGAAUCCUAGAGAGCACCAAGAAUCUCUUCACAUUGUUAAUUAAACUUGGCUGCUCAUAUUUUAAUGUUGUUUCUUCCAUCAUCUCAAAAGCUAGAAACUUUAUAUGAAAGCAAAACUGCAAGCGUGGCAAUCCCAAAUUAAGAGUGAAGAAAGAAUGGGACGACCAUUUAUGAAAUCGAAAAUUCUGCAAAAGACAGGUGUGCGAGAACUGAAUUUCCAGCCUUUUACUCUCAUUUAAGUAAACAUCUUUGUUCUUUCAAAAGAAACAAAAAAAAUCUCUCAUUUACCGUUGCGAGGGUUUGCUGUUUGCAGGUGGCGGUAGACCUGAGAAGGAAAAACAAACGCCCACCGUGGGGCUCGAACCCACGACCACAAGGUUAAGAGCCUUGCGCUCUACCGACUGAGCUAGACGGGCUUUGCUUGUGAUGCACUUCUACAGCCCAAUACUUAUCCCGUUUAGUUACCAUGAAAAGGAGCCAUACAAUAAGGAGAGCUAAAAACCUAUAUAAAUUAAUGCAUGUAAAUCAACCAUGAGGUAUGAUAUAGUGUUUUCUUAUCUCAUAUCUUAACAAUAUGAUCGG